AUACGGAGGAUCCGAGCGUUAUCCGGAUUUAUUGGGUUUAAAGGGUGCGCAGGCGGCCAUUUAAGUCAGCGGUUAAAUCGUGGGGCUCAACCCCAUUCUGCCGUUGAUACUGGGUGGAUUGAUUGCGGUCGAGGUUGGCGGAAUUCGUUGUGUAGCGGUGAAAUGCAUAGAUAUGACGAAGAACACCGAUUGCGUAGGCAGCUGACCAGACCGCAAAUGACGCUCAUGCACGAAAGUGCGGGGAUCGAACAGGAUUAGAUACCCUGGUAGUCCGCACAGUAAACGAUGAAUACUUGUUUUCGGCGAUAUAAUGUCGGAGGCAAAGCGAAAGCGAUAAGUAUUCCACCUGGGGAGUACGCCGGCAACGGUGAAACUCAAAUGAAUGGGCGGGG
rnacentral:rRNA from 1 species